GGCAGCAGUGGGGAAUAUUGGACAAUGGGCGAAAGCCUGAUCCAGCCAUGCCGCGUGUGUGAAGAAGGCCUUUUGGUUGUAAAGCACUUUAAGCGAGGAGGAGGCUACUUAGAUUAAUACUCUAGGAUAGUGGACGUUACUCGCAGAAUAAGCACCGGCUAACUCUGUGCCAGCAGCCGCGGUAAUACAGAGGGUGCGAGCGUUAAUCGGAUUUACUGGGCGUAAAGCGUGCGUAGGCGGCUUUUUAAGUCGGAUGUGAAAUCCCUGAGCUUAACUUAGGAAUUGCAUUCGAUACUGGGAAGCUAGAGUAUGGGAGAGGAUGGUAGAAUUCCGGGUGUAGCGGUGAAAUGCGUAGAGAUCUGGAGGAAUACCGAUGGCGAAGGCAGCCAUCUGGCCUAAUACUGACGCUGAGGUACGAAAGCAUGGGGAGCAAACAGGAUUAGAUACCCUGGUAGUCCACGCCCUAAACGAUGCGAACUGGAUGUUGGGUGCAAUUUGGCACGCAGUAUCGAAGCUAACGCGUUAAGUUCGCCGCCUGGGGAGUACGGUCGCAAGACUGAAACUCAAAGGAAUUGACGG
rnacentral:rRNA from 1 species